UACUCCCCACCCUCUCCACCUGCUCAGUGGCCCAGGCUGCUGGCCUGUGUGUGUGAUACACAACAGACUGACUGGUUUUUCAGCUCCGGUGUGAGCACUGCCUUAUUUUUAGGUCACUUUUUUCUCUUAAAACUUGGAAGACAUCGCUCUACCGACUUCUGGCCUUGCAAGUCAUUAUGGAGAAAGUUCGAGUCAGGUGGAAUUUCUUUUUCCACUUCCAAUUGCCAAACACCUGAGGGAGGCCAUCUUGGACCAGCCCCAGUCAAACAACAGGAGGACUUCUGCUUCAUGAGUGACCACAGCUCCUUGUAGGGGCCGAACCUGGCUCUGCCAACUCUGGUGCCCACCAUCUCUCCUGGGCGCCUCCCAGCAUUCUGUUUGUAUGGUGGCAGUCUUGCUCCACAGAUGGCAACUGGGAUCACCUGGGAACACAGAUAUUGCCUAGUUUCAUCACAGAUGGGGUGGCUGUUUCUCAAUUUUGUGUAUGUGUGUGUGGGGGGGUGGGGGAUGGUGAUUUCCUAGAGGCGGAGGCAGGCACAUA